UAGGGAAUCUUCGGCAAUGGACGAAAGUCUGACCGAGCAACGCCGCGUGAGUGAAGAAGGUUUUCGGAUCGUAAAACUCUGUUGUUAGAGAAGAACGUUGAUUAGAGUGGAAAAUUAAUCAAGUGACGGUAUCUAACCAGAAAGGGACGGCUAACUACGUGCCAGCAGCCGCGGUAAUACGUAGGUCCCGAGCGUUGUCCGGAUUUAUUGGGCGUAAAGCGAGCGCAGGUGGUUUAAUAAGUCUGAUGUAAAAGGCAGUGGCUCAACCAUUGUGUGCAUUGGAAACUGUUAGACUUGAGUGCAGUAGAGGAGAGUGGAAUUCCAUGUGUAGCGGUGAAAUGCGUAGAUAUAUGGAGGAACACCGGUGGCGAAAGCGGCUCUCUGGACUGUCACUGACACUGAGGCUCGAAAGCGUGGGUAGCAAACAGGAUUAGAUACCCACGUAGUCCCUGAGCGGGCUGGCAAGGCGCAU
rnacentral:rRNA from 1 species